rfam:Sporosarcina psychrophila strain DSM 6497, complete genome.
AAAACCUUUUAACACUGUUCCGAGAGUCAGGGAAAGGUUCGUUUGACACCCAUUCUGCACAAUAAGUGUAGGGUUUGGAUUGUCAUACCUAACGAGCCUUUCCAUUUAUCGGGAAGGCUCGUUUUUCA